CCUACGGGAGGCAGCAGUGAGGAAUAUUGGUCAAUGGGCGGGAGCCUGAACCAGCCAAGCCGCGUGAGGGAAGAAGGUACAGCGUAUCGUAAACCUCUUUUGUCAGGGAACAAAGGCGGGGACUAGUCCCCGGAUGAGGGUACCUGAAGAAAAAGCAUCGGCUAACUCCGUGCCAGCAGCCGCGGUAAUACGGAGGAUGCGAGCGUUAUCCGGAUUUAUUGGGUUUAAAGGGUGCGCAGGCGGCCUGUUAAGUCAGCGGUAAAAGCCCGGGGCUCAACCCCGGCGAGCCGUUGAAACUGGCGGGCUGGAGUUGGAGAGAGGUACGCGGAAUGCGCGGUGUAGCGGUGAAAGGCGUAGAUAUCAGGAGGAACAUCGGUGGCGUAAGCGCUUUACUGGGCCGUAAUUGACACUGAGGAACGAAAGCCGGGGUAGCAAAUGGGAUUAGAUACCCUUGUAGUC
rnacentral:rRNA from 1 species